AAGUUGGUUAGGGUUUUUGAAAGGUUUUGGAGGAGCCAAAGCUAAUAGGAAGGUCCAAACCUUAAGCAAGAACACCAAAGAGUAUUGGCUAAGCGUAACUGGACUGAACGUUGGAGGGUGAAAACUUGCUGAGCGCUAAGGACUCCAAGUAAAAGCAAGGGCAAGGCAGAGCAGUGAGCGCUGGAGUCUUCCUUGCAAAUGUACAUGUGGACCGACCUUUUGGGAAGCCUUUUUAUUUUUGG